GGAUGGUUGGCUGAGAGGUCGAAAGCAGUGGACUUGAAAUCCACCGUACCGCAAGGUACCGCAGGUUCGAAUCCUGCACCAUCCG
rnacentral:tRNA from 1 species